UACGUAGGGCGCAAGCGUUGUCCGGAAUUAUUGGGCGUAAAGCGCGCGCAGGCGGUCCUUUAAGUCUGAUGUGAAAGCCCACGGCUCAACCGUGGAGGGUCAUUGGAAACUGGGGGACUUGAGUACAGAAGAGGAAAGCGGAAUUCCACGUGUAGCGGUGAAAUGCGUAGAGAUGUGGAGGAACACCAGUGGCGAAGGCGGCUUUCUGGUCUGUAACUGACGCUGAGGCGCGAAAGCGUGGGGAGCAAACAGG
rnacentral:rRNA from 1 species